rnacentral:rRNA from 1 species
CCUACGGGUGGCAGCAGUGAGGAAUAUUGGUCAAUGGUCGUAAGACUGAACCAGCCAAGUCGCGUGAGGGAGGAAGGUACAAUGGAUCGUAAACCUCUUUUGUAAGGGAACAAAGGCGGGGACGUGUCCUAGUAUGAGUGUACCUUAUGAAAAAGGAUCGGCUAACUCCGUGCCAGCAGCCGCGGUAAUACGGAGGAUGCGAGCGUUAUCCGGAUUUAUUGGGUUUAAAGGGUGCGCAGGCGGCCUGUUAAGUCAGCGGUUAAAGUCCGGGGCUCAACCCCCGCCCUGCCGUUGAACCUGGCCGGCUUGAGUUGGAGAGAGGUAUGCGGGAUGCGUGGUGUAGCGGUGAAAUGCAUAGAUAUCGCGCAGAACCCCGAUUGCGAAGGCAGCCUGCC